GCCGAAGCUUGAAGAUAACACCGGGUGGGAAACACAACACUCUCUCUACACAAGUCUUCACCACUGCGUCGGAGGCGCAGCCACCAGAACCAGGUUUUUACAAUCUACUUGGGUUUCGGUGGAUUUUUUAGAUUAUUGUUAGAGAUACAACAAUGGAGACAUCUCUAAGAUAUGGAGUAGAUUCCAAAGCCCUUAAAAUUCAUGCCAAGGAGAGGUUUGCCAUUGAUUCCAGCACCCACUUGCAGGUUCAUGGGGAGCUAGAUACAAGAAUUGGAGCUCCUAGUUAUGUCAGUGCAAUGAUAAGACACUUUUACCCAGAUUUGUCUGCUUGUCUUGGAGUGGGAUUGCAAUAUGAUAAGCAUGAAAAACUCAGGUAUUUUGUUCGAGGAAAAAAGGGUUUUCCUGUGACAAAUGAUGGUUUGAUAAGCUUCAAUGUUAAGGGACGAUGUGAUGUUGACAAAGAAUUUAAACAGAGGAAUUCAAAAGCAGCUGCGGACGUUUCUUGGAGCAUAUAUAAUUUCCAUAGAGAACAAGAUGUUAGAUUCAGAAUUGGGUAUGAAGUGAUUACCAAGGUGCCUUAUCUGCAGAUUAAGGAAAAUAAUUGGACCCUCAAUGCUGACAUGAAUGGUAAAUGGAAUGUCAAAUUUGAUUUGUGAGCAAAGAAAGAGCAUGAUAUAUUCUCUUAGAGAUUGUUCGUUACAAUUUGACCCUCUUGUGGGAUUCAGUAGAAUGCGUAAUUCUAGUUCUCCAUUGCUGAUUAUGGAACUUGUCGAACUAGUGUUUGUGACUUGCAUAAGGGAGUAGUUUCUGUUUGGCCUACUUGGAAUUCCAAUAAGAGCACAUCGUUACAGGGGUGAUUUGAACAAACAAUUGCUUAGCUAUGUAUUAUGUAGGUAAAUUGAGGAUUGUAUUCCCUUUUAAACAUUAUGCUUCAUAUCCUUGUUCCAUAUACUGAACAUUGUUUCAUGCCUGGGAUAUGGAAAUCAUUUCUUUGCAUAA